UCUGGAUUCUAGGGUGCAGCUGACCUCGCCAGACCAAGGUGUUUGAAGAAAAAGUGAAAAACUUCCCUUCUGAGAGACAAACACCUCAGGGGACAUGACCAUUGGACUCCUUCCAUGUCACCACAGACCGUCUUUCCAGAAGUCACUCUCCUAGUUACAAGUAUUUGCUUGGAACCCUGGAAAAGGUGGGAGCUGGCCUUUCACAGAUGGCACCUGAACAGGGACUUGGAUACAGAGGAAAUAAGCACUCCCUGGGUCCUGAAGUCUUUGAUGAGGAGGGAAGGGAAGACAAUUUUCCGACCUAAUGUUGUAUGUUAUGUUGCCAGCUGUCCUAGCAUCUUAGAGGUAAGUCAGCAAAUUUUUCACGUAUGCUGGCAGGU